rnacentral:rRNA from 1 species
UGUAACGGGGCUAAGCAUAUUACCGAAUUUAUCGGAUGAUACGCAAGUAUCGUGGUAGACGAGCGUUGUAUUCUGGGAUGAAGCCAAACCGUGAGGAUUGGUGGACUGAAUACAAGUGAGAAUGCCGGUGUAAGUAACGCUUGAGAGUGAGAAUCUCUCAAACCGAUUGACUAAGGUUUCCUGGACGAGGGUCGUCCUUCCAGGGUUAGUCUGGACCUAAGGUGAGGCUGAAAAGCGUAAUCGAUGGACAACAGGUUAAUAUUCCUGUACCGACAAUGCAACUGAUGGAGUGACGGAGAAGGUUAAUGGUUCCCUAUUAUCGGAUUUAGG